ensembl:snRNA
GCAUUGUAUGAAAGAGAGAAGGUUAGAACUCCCGUAGAGAAAGAUGGAAGAGACCCCAGCCUUGACAAUCCGCAUACAGUUGAGGAAAUGCCAUCUACUUGUAGCAUCUAACCAUUGUUU